GGCUUUUUGAUAAUAAUUUAAAGUCUUACCUGCUCUAUGAUAUUUUAAAUGGCUGCAGUAUUUUGACUGUACAAAGGUAGCAUAAUCAUUAGUUUUUUAAUUGAAAGCUGGAAUGAAUGGUUUGAUGAAAAAAUAUCUGUCUUUAUUUAAUGAUUAAAAUUUUAUUUUUAAGUUAAAAAGCUUAAAUUUUUUUAAAAGACGAGAAGACCCUAUAGAGUUUGAUAUUAAUUUUUUUUUAUUUUAAAUUUAGAAUAAAUUUUUUAAUUAAUGRUGAAUAUUUGAUUGGGGUGAUUAAAAAAUUAAUUUAACUUUUUUUAUUUUAUUUCAUAAAUUAGUGUAUAUUUGAUCCAAAAUUUUUGAUUAUAAGUUUAAAUUACCUUAGGGAUAACAGCGUAAUUUUUUUAGAGAGUUCUUAUCGAAAAAAGAGAUUGCGACCUCGAUGUUGGAUUAAAAUUUAUAUUUGGUAGUAGAAGCUGAAAUAUUGGGUCUGUUCGACCUUUAAAAUUUUACA
rnacentral:rRNA from 1 species